GACGAACGCUGGCGGCGUGCUUAACACAUGCAAGUCGAACGGAAAGGCCCUGCUUUUGUGGGGUGCUCGAGUGGCGAACGGGUGAGUAACACGUGAGUAACCUGCCCUUGACUUUGGGAUAACUUCAGGAAACUGGGGCUAAUACCGGAUAGGAGCUCCUGCUGCAUGGUGGGGGUUGGAAAGUUUCGGCGGUUGGGGAUGGACUCGCGGCUUAUCAGCUUGUUGGUGGGGUAGUGGCUUACCAAGGCUUUGACGGGUAGCCGGCCUGAGAGGGUGACCGGCCACAAUGGGACUGAGCUACGGCGCAGACUCCUACGGGAGGCAGCAGGGGGGAAUAUUGCACAAUGGGCGGAAGCCUGAUGCAGCAACGCCGCGUGCGGGAUGACGGCCUUCGGGUUGUAAACCGCUUUCGCCUGUGACGAAGCGGGAGUGACGGUAAUGGGUAAAGAAGCACCGGCUAACUACGUG
rnacentral:rRNA from 1 species